UUUCCAUCCCUAUUUAAUUUUUUUAAAAAAUAAAUUUAAAAAUUUAUAAUUUGUAAACUUAAAAUGAAAAUUUUAUAACUUUAAAUUUUAAAUUUUAAAUUCAUAUUUUAAUUUUUUUAAAUUUAAAUUUUGAUAUUUUAGAUUUAUAAAGUUAGAUUUAAUUUAAAAUUUAAAAUUUAAAAAUUUAAAAUUGAGAAUUUUAAAUUUUUGAAUAUGAGAUUUAAAAAUUUUAAUUUUAAUUUUAAUUUUUUAAAAUUUAAAAGUUAUAUAUUUAAAUUUAAAAAAUUUAAAUAUAAAAUUUAUAUAUUUAAAUUUAAAUAUAAUAUAAGGGGCAAUAUCAUUUUUUUCUAUUUAUAACUAUCUAUCUUUCUUCUUAUUCCACUUAUCCAACCAAUCACUAUUUUGCUUAUUUCCGGUAACAACUCAAUUUUCAUCCAAAUGUAAUAUUGAUCUAAUUUCUGUUUAUUCUUAAACUUAUAUAUAUUUUCGGAACAGACAGUUCUUACUUAAUUAUACAUGAGUGAAACGAAGCCAGAGUAUGCAAGGCAUGAUAUUGGAAAUAAUAGCAUUUUUUGUAAGGAUGAUUGUGCAUGUACUCAUUGUAUGACUGCUGGAGUCAAUUUGCAUUAUUGCACUUGCAAUAACACUUACUGCUUCAAAGACAAAAUAGUGUAACAUUGUAACUUUUGUGAAAUUUACUAUUUAGCUGAAUUAAAGAAAAUUCUCCUAUAAAUAUUAAUUUUUUUACUUUCCAUUAUUAACUUUUAAAAUUUUAUAUUUUAUUCGCUCUACAUUUCAAAUUGUUAUAUUUAGCCUUACUCGGUCAGAGUUCCAUCAUUAUUUCAUCCAUUUUUUAUAAUUUAUAUUAAAAGUAUCCUUCAAAAUAAUAAAAAAUUUUAAAAGUUAUUUUUUUAUUAAAAAAAUAAAGAUAAUUUGAUCAUUUUGUCUUCUCUAUUAACACUUUACUCUCCUGAAAAUAUUUUUAAAAUUUUAAAGAGGCAAAAUAUAAAUUUUUGAAAGUUAAAAGGAUACAGUAAACAAGCGGAUAUUUAAAAGAAGAUUUUUUAUAAUUUAAUUUUAU
rnacentral:lncRNA from 1 species